CCCCUGCGAGAUCAUGAGUUUGUCUCAUAUCUCCUCACGGGUCUUGACUCCGACUAUGACUCCUUUGUCUCAUCUGUCACGAUCCACAGUGAUGUCAUCAUCGUGCGUGAUCUGUACGCACAUUUUCUCAACCAUGAGC